rnacentral:piRNA from 1 species
UGCAGAACACUCCCGAGCAGCCCUGGAC